rnacentral:rRNA from 1 species
GUUUAUAGACGAGNAUAAGUCGUAACAUAGUAGAUGUACCGGAAGGUGUAUCUGGAAUUAUUC